CCUACGGGCGGCAGCAGUGGGGAAUAUUGGACAAUGGACCAAGAGUCUGAUCCAGCAAUUCUGUGUGCACGAUGACGUUUUUCGGACUGUAAAGUGCUUUCAGUUGGGAAGAAAAAAAUGACGGUACCAACAGAAGAAGUGACGGCUAAAUACGUGCCAGCAGCCGCGGUAAUACGUAUGUCACAAGCGUUAUCCGGAUUUAUUGGGCGUAAAGCGCGUCUAGGUGGUUAUGUAAGUCUGAUGUGAAAAUGCAGGGCUCAACUCUGUAUUGCGUUGGAAACUGUAUAACUAGAGUACUGGAGAGGUAAGCGGAACUACAAGAGUAGAGGUGAAAUUCGUAGAUAUUUGUAGGAAUGCCGAUGGGGAAGCCAGCUUACUGGACAGAUACUGACGCUAAAGCGCGAAAGCGUGGGUAGCAAACAGGAUUAGAUACCCUGGUAGUC
rnacentral:rRNA from 1 species